rnacentral:rRNA from 1 species
UGGUGGAGUGAUUUGUCUGGUUAAUUCCGUUAACGAACGAGACCUUAACCUACUAAAUAGUUACGCGAAUCGUUACGAUUCGCGGGCAACUUCUUAGAGGGACUUUGGGCGUUUAGCCCAAGGAAGUUUGAGGCAAUAACA